CCCCCCCCCAGCGGAGCAGGAGCUGGCAGAGCAGGUGCAGUUCGGGGUGGAGGGGGGCAGCGUGUUCCUGGAGUGCCAGCCCCCCUCCCCCCAUGCCCAGGUCCAGUGGCUGCUGCAUCCGGAGGUCGGCACCCGGCGCCCGCUGCCCCGGGAGCGGGUCGUGCUGCAGACGCCCCAGGGGGCCCUGCUGGGCCCGGUGACGCUGGCGGACGAGGGCCGGUACCAGUGCGUGGGCACCGAGAACGGCUACACCCGCCCCCUGCGCCGGCUGCUGCUACGCGUCCUGCCCCAUGGCCUGCUGGGGGGCUCCCCGCCCCCCGUCUGCCAGAGCCCCUGGGGCCGGCCCCGGAUCAGAGCCGAGUCGUCUCUGCAACGCGACCGGAGCUCCCCCCCCGGAACUGACUGGGGGCGCCGAGGCCUGAGGCCGGGGUGAGGGGCUCGGACCCCACCGGGGGGGGGGUCGUUUCACAUUCCAAGGGGGACCCCGGAGCGAACCCCCCCGGGGAGGGGGCCGAGGGGGGGCUCUGCCUGGUGCCCGCAUUUCCUUUCCAUGGACAUCGGCCCCGUUGUUGACUGCGGGGGGGCCCGGACGCCUGGGUUCCCCCCGGUUUGAUUUGUAGAGUCUAUUUUUUCACGGCUGGGGGGUUUCUAACGUGGCUGGAUUUGGGUUUUUUAAAAGUAAUUUAUUUUUUAUUUCCUGUGACCCCGUCGAUGCUGUGGACGAAACCGGCUGCCAAAGAUUAAAGGGGCCAACGUUUGAUUUUCUAAA